GCCUGUGACCAUACCGCUCUGAAUCUUCCUGAUCUCAUCUGAUGUCGAAAUCUAAACAGGGUUAGACAUAGUAAUUGGAUGGGAGGAACCACGAAAGAGAAGGGUGGGGGUCA
rnacentral:rRNA from 1 species